AGAAGUCAAGUAAAACACUCGCGAGAGAAAGAGAGAGAGAGAGAGAGAGGGAGAGAGAGAUCCGGUACAUACGAAGUCCGGUCGAUCAUUACGUAACCGGACAUAUGGCAAGUGCAACACUAAAUUUAGCCGGGCGAUGCACGCGGCCCCGCGUACGUAUCAACGCGCACGGAGCAGCCGAUUACGCGACAUGGGGCAAAGGGUGCAGCCUCAUCGACGUGCUUGUGUAACGACAACUACCCACGUUCUCGAUGCAUACUGCAUCGGCAAAACGUUUCGUAUACAAGGUUAAAAUGACCUAUGUAUUCUUGUAGUAAUUUGCGGAUUUCUUCGCGAAAAAUCUCUUGAAAAUAUGUUUUUUUUUUUUUUAAUUAUAAUUAGCGGAAAAUAUAUAUAAAACGCUUUUUCAAAACUGAGCUUUGAAGGAAAGUGCAACGUCGUUAAAAAUGUAUGUAUGUUUUUUUUUAAUCGAAAAAUGAAGAGUUUUAUUUACAAGCAAACAAGAACUUACGAUAUAGUCUCUCACGAUGGAAAAUAAUGCAAUUAUUAUCAUGAAUAAAUUUAAUUAAUUUAAAAAAAAAACUGGGUUUUUUUGAUGCAUUUAAUAAAAUUUUAAAAAUGGCCUUUCUUUUCUUGAUUUAAUAAACAAUGCAAUCUUGUUUGCCAUUUAAAUUUAAAUUUACGAAGAGAUUCACAUUCCAAAAAAAUUUUAAUUUUUAAUUAUAUAUAUGAAAUAUUUAGCAUUAACAAUAAAUCAAAUAAAUUAUAAAUGCAACGCACAGUGUAUUAAAAGUUACAUAUGUAUAUUACGACUUAUUAUGAUAAUUAUACUUGUUUUAUUAUCAUAUAUCUUUACAUGACAUAGUAAUUACGAAAUAACUCACUAAAGAUUCAAAAUUAUAGGGUGGUAAAUGAGAGCUCCGAUAGAGUUAUUUAUAACUCAAAUAGUAUUACAAAAAAUUUACAUCUCUUUAUGGUAAAUUGUAUCUAAUUUUGCAUACAAACAAGAUAUCACGUUCAUAUGCAUAACUUAUAAUCAAUUGCGUUCAAUUAUACAUUUAUUUAACACAGCAUAUUUAACUAUAGUUAAAUGUAUUUGUGUGAAGAUUUUUAUUUUGCGAAAUUACGCGUCUCA